UCCACUCAUUACUGUUAGUUGCUCUGUAUAAGAGCAUCUGCUAAAUGACUGUAA
rfam:Salmo salar isolate Sally breed double haploid chromosome ssa13, whole genome shotgun sequence.